rnacentral:rRNA from 16 species
UAAUAGUAAAUGUUUGCCUGACUGUAAGAUUGACAAAUCAAACAGAGACGCAAGUCGGUUAUAGUGAUCCGGUGGUUCUACGUGGAAAGUCCAUCGCUCAACGAAUAAAAAAUACGCCAGGGAUAACAGGCUAAUCACUCUUUAGAGACCCUAUCGACGGAGUGGUUUGGCACCUCGAUGUUGGAUUAUCACAUCCUGGAAUUGAAAAAGGUUCCAAGGGUUUACCUGUUCGGUAAGUAAGGUGGUACAUGAUCUGAGUUCAGAACGUCGUGAGACAGUUUGGUCCCUAUCUACCGUAAGUAAAAGAAAAUUGAAAGGAUUAGACCUUAGUACGAGAGGACCAGGAAAAGUAAACCUAUGGUGGAUUGGUUGUUAUAUUUAUAGCACAGCCAAGUAGCUACGUUUAUAAUAGAUAAUUGCUGACAGCAUCUAAGCAAGAAACUAACCUUAAAACAUAUUUUCUAACAAGUUGUAAUAGACUAUUACAUUAAUAGGCU